GUUCUGGGAAGGACAAGCCGAUUUCACUUAAUGACUGGCUUUCUCUCUAGAUUUUAUUGUCUUGGAGCCGUUCAUAGCAGCUGGCAACAGCCAUAGGGAGAGGACUGGCAGGUUGGCGGCCCCUAGAACAGUAGGAGGAGAAGGAACAGCGUAAAUGGAGAGCGUGAGUCACUUUUAGGGGACCACCCUCCAAUUUUUUGCCAGUAUGUUUGUGGUCAAGACAAGUAACAGUGACUGACUCAUAAUAACUCUAAUAAAGAGUGGAGGUAGUUUUGUAAGGAUUAAAGAAAUGCGUCAUGGGAAGGAGACUCUGAACAGGAGUCUCUGAACAGCCAGGACUCAAGAAAGGCAAAAGACAAGGUGGCACAGGACUCUGGAUCAGCAAGACUAGAAAACUCCACCAAGGUCACUUUUCCCAAAGAGGACAAGAACCAGAGAACCUGGCUCUCCUUUGAGAAACAGACAUAAUUCAUGGGACCUGGGAUCCACAUUUGAACAUAGAGCUUCCUGAAACUGAUCUCCUAAAAAGAAAUUCCAUUUUCUUCUCCCUCAAAAGGCUGCUGAGACACCAUGGGGUGGCACUAUUGCUUACAUUUAAAAUCCCAGAUAACCAAGCAAAGUCAUAUAUCCAAUCCAGCAACAGAAAGAAGAGCAGAGCUUUCUCCAAGGAGCUCUAGAAGACAGGAGCCUACCAAGGGGUAUGACCGACACAGCUCAACUACAGAAGAUUCAAUAAGUAAAACAAGAUUUUUUGGAAAAUAAUUCAACUCAAAUAAAAGACACCAUCUACCCAAUUCGACAAGCAUCAUCCUCUUCAUUACAAUUUCCAAGUGGUCUGACAUCCUCAAGAGCUCUUUUCUUCAUUCAAGAUGGAUUGCCAGCAAUUGCCACUCAUUUCUGUUUAGGGAUAAUGGGGAAAGGCAGACUGUUCUGUGGCUUUUCCUUUCCACAAACAUGCUUAAGUCUUGGUUAGUCGAUUACCCCCAUGACUCCUAUAUCCAUUUACUGUAAUUUCUAUUAAGAAAAGUUCCACCUCCUGCACUAAUGGGAGCUUUGAUGAUCAACUCAAGGUCCCUAGCUACCAUGGUUAGCUACUACGCCUGUGUGGACUUCUAAGACCUUUUUGCACGAUAGAAAAACAGAUCUUUGAGGAGUAUAAUGAUUCUCAUUACUCCUCCUUUCACACUCACCUCACUAGCAGAGAGAAAUCAGCACGGGUAAUAGCCCGCAACUCAACACUAGGGACAACUGUUACAAUUGCCAUUGUCUGGCAUAAUACACAAGCUCACGUAUGCCACACACAAUGGGAUUUUAUUUAACAGAGCAACCCUAUAAUAAUUAUAUUUCUCAGUGUUAAUACUUUUUAAGUGAUUUAAAUGAAAAAGUAUGCUGCUGUUCCAAAAUAAAACCAGAUUAGUCCACCGCUAAUUGCAUUACAAUGAAAGAUUCCAUUAUCACAUGUGCCACCUUUUUUCAGUAGCAUGUUCCCAGCUCAUGAGAACCAGAGAAACAACAGGGGAAAAGAAAAAAACCGAAAACAUAAGCCAUGGGGAGUUCCCGUCAUGGCUCAGUGGUUAACGAAUCCGACUAGAAACCAUGAGGUUGUGGGUUCGAUCCCUGGCCUUGCUCAGUGGGUUAACGAUCCGGCGUUGCCGUGAGCUGUGGUGUAGGUUGCAGACGUGGCUCGGAUCCCACGUUGCUGUGGCCCUGGCAUAGGUCAGUGGCUACAGCUCCGAUUCGACCCCUAGCCUGGGAACCUCCAUAUGCCGCAGGAGCAGCCCAAGAAAUGGCAAAAAGACCAAAAAAAAAAAAAAAAAAAAAAAAAA
rnacentral:lncRNA from 1 species